rnacentral:rRNA from 1 species
CGAAGGUGGCAAGCGUUACUCGGAAUUACUAGGCGUAAAGGGCAGGUAGGUGGUUUGGUAAGUCUGUUGUGUAAGCUCCCGGCUUAACUGGGAGAGGUCAACAGAAACUACCAGGCUUGAGUAUAGGAGAGGGUACUGGAAUUCCCGGUGUAGCGGUGAAAUGCGCAGAGAUCGGGAGGAACACCAAUGGCGAAAGCAGGUACCUGGACUAUUACUGACACUAAGCUGCGAAAGCUAGGGGAGCAAACAGGAUUAGAUACCCUGGUAGUCCUAGCUGCAAACGAUGCACAUUAGGCGUGAGGGGUAUCGACCCCCUUCGUGCCGACGCAAACGCAUUAAAUGUGCCGCCUGGGGAGUACGGCCGCAAGGUUG